GAUGAACGCUGGCGGCGUGCCUAAUACAUGCAAGUCGAGCGAACAGACGAGGAGCUUGCUCCUCUGACGUUAGCGGCGGACGGGUGAGUAACACGUGGAUAACCUACCUAUAAGACUGGGAUAACUUCGGGAAACCGGAGCUAAUACCGGAUAAUAUAUUGAACCGCAUGGUUCAAUAGUGAAAGACGGUUUUGCUGUCACUUAUAGAUGGAUCCGCGCCGCAUUAGCUAGUUGGUAAGGUAACGGCUUACCAAGGCAACGAUGCGUAGCCGACCUGAGAGGGUGAUCGGCCACACUGGAACUGAGACACGGUCCAGACUCCUACGGGAGGCAGCAGUAGGGAAUCUUCCGCAAUGGGCGAAAGCCUGACGGAGAAACGCCGCGUGAGUGAUGAAGGUCUUCGGAUCGUAAAACUCUGUUAUUAGGGAAGAACAAAUGUGUAAGUAACUAUGCACGUCUGGACGGUACCUAAGCAGAAAGCCACGGCUAACUACGU
rnacentral:rRNA from 1 species